rnacentral:misc_RNA from 1 species
UCUCCGUAGGUGAACCUGCGGAGGGAUCAUUACAGAGUUCAUGCCCUACCGGGUAGAUCUCCCACCCUAUGUUAUUAUUGCUUUGUUGCUUUGGCGGGCCGUUAGGCUCCGGCCCAGCUACCGGCCCCGGCUGGUAAGCGCCCGCCAGAGGACCCAAAACCCUGAAUAUUAGUGUCGUCUGAGUACUAUAUAAUAGUUAAAACUUUCAACAACGGAUCUCUUGGUUCUG